AGGGUUCGAUUCUGGCUCAGAACGAACGCUGGCGGCAGGCCUUAUACAUGCAAGUCGAGCGCAUCCUUUGGGAUGAGCGGCGGACGGGUGAGUAACGCGUGGGAAUGUGCCCUUCUCUACGGAAUAGCCACUGGGAACGGUGAGUAAUACCGUAUACGCCCUUAGGGGGAAAGAUUUAUCGGAGAAGGAUCAGCCCGCGUUAGAUUAGGUAGUUGGUGGGGUAACGGCCUACCAAGCCUACGAUCUAUAGCUGGUUUUAGAGGAUGAUCAGCCACACUGGGACUGAGACACGGCCCAGACUCCUACGGGAGGCAGCAGUAGGGAAUCUUGGACAAUGGGGGCAACCCUGAUCCAGCCAUGCCGCGUGAGUGAAGAAGGCCCUAGGGUCGUAAAGCUCUUUCGCCUGUGAUGAUAAUGACAGUAGCAGGUAAAGAAACCCCGGCUAACUCCGUGCCAGCCGCCGCGGUAAUAC
rnacentral:rRNA from 1 species